ncrna:unclassified sequences S15-Flavobacteria ribosomal protein leader
UAUCUUUGCGCCCGAAAAAAAAAAUUACAUAAUAAUCAUUAAAUUAAUAUUGGAAUG